rnacentral:rRNA from 1 species
UGGUGGAGUGAUUUGUCUGGUUAAUUCCGUUAACGAACGAGACCUCGACCUGCUAAAUAGUUCGACGAACAUCCUAUGAUGUUCGCGCGUUUGACUUCUUAGAGGGACUAUUGGUGGUUAGCCAAUGGAAGUUCGAGGCAAUAACA